GGCGAACGGGUGAGUAACACGUGGGUGAUCUGCCUGGGAGCGGGGGAUAACCUGGGGAAACUCGGGCUAAUACCGCAUACGUUGGUGGGGUUGCGGCUCCACCAAGAAAGCUGGCCUCUACUUGUAAGCUAGCACUCCCAGAGGAGCCCGCGGCUGAUUAGCUAGUUGGUGGGGUAAUGGCCCACCAAGGCUACGAUCAGUAGCCGGCCUGAGAGGGUGAUCGGCCACACUGGGACUGAGACACGGUCCAGACUCCAUACGGGAGGCAGCAGUGGGGAAUAUUGGACAAUGGGCGCAAGCCUGAUCCAGCAACGCCGCGUGGAGGACGAAGGUCUUCGGAUCGUAAACUCCUGUCAGGUGGGACGAACGGGCGGCGGCAAAUAGCCGCUGUCCUUGACGGUACCGCCAGAGGAAGCCCCGGUUAACUCCGUGCCAGCCGCCGCGG
rnacentral:rRNA from 1 species